GAAGGAGGGGGAAAGGAAAUGGGUGUAGAUGAAGUUAUUGGAAUGGAGUUCUAUCAGAAGGAAGGAAAUUCAUCAUAUUUCUUUUCGAGUCCUCCCAUUUCAACAAUUUCUUCUAGAUUCCUUUCUUUCUCUGUCUUCU
rnacentral:miRNA from 1 species